CCUACGGGUGGCAGCAGUGGGGAAUAUUGGACAAUGGGCGCAAGCCUGAUCCAGCCAUACCGCGUGGGUGAAGAAGGCCUUCGGGUUGUAAAGCCCUUUUGUUGGGAAAGAAAUCCAGCUGGCUAAUACCCGGUUGGGAUGACGGUACCCAAAGAAUAAGCACCGGCUAACUUCGUGCCAGCAGCCGCGGUAAUACGAAGGGUGCAAGCGUUACUCGGAAUUACUGGGCGUAAAGCGUGCGUAGGUGGUCGUUUAAGUCCGUUGUGAAAGCCCUGGGCUCAACCUGGGAACUGCAGUGGAUACUGGGCGACUAGAGUGUGGUAGAGGGUAGCGGAAUUCCUGGUGUAGCAGUGAAAUGCGUAGAGAUCAGGAGGAACAUCCAUGGCGAAGGCAGCUACCUGGACCAACACUGACACUGAGGCACGAAAGCGUGGGGAGCAAACAGGAUUAGAUACCCCUGUAGUC
rnacentral:rRNA from 1 species